rnacentral:rRNA from 1 species
AGAGUUUGAUCCUGGCUCAGAUUGGACGCUGGCGGCAUGCCUUACACAUGCAAGUCGAACGGCAGCACGGGAGCAAUCCUGGUGGCGAGUGGCGAACGGGUGAGUAAUAUAUCGGAACGUGCCCAGUCGUGGGGGAUAACGCAGCGAAAGCUGUGCUAAUACCGCAUACGAUCUAUGGAUGAAAGCGGGGGACCGUAAGGCCUCGCGCGAUUGGAGCGGCCGAUAUCAGAUUAGCUAGUUGGCGGGGUGAAAGCCCACCAAGGCGACGAUCUGUAGCUGGUCUGAGAGGACGACCAGCCACACUGGAACUGAGACACGGUCCAGACUCCUACGGGAGGCAGCAGUGGGGAAUUUUGGACAAUGGGCGCAAGCCUGAUCCAGCAAUGCCGCGUGCAGGAUGAAGGCCUUCGGGUUGUAAACUGCUUUUGUACGGAACGAAACGGUCUCUUUUAAUACAGGGGGCUAAUGACGGUACCGUAAGAAUAAGCACCGGCUAACUACGUGCCAGCAGCCGCGGUAAUACGUAGGGUGCGAGCGUUAAUCGGAAUUACUGGGCGUAAAGCGUGCGCAGGCGGUUAUAUAAGACAGAUGUGAAAUCCCCGGGCUCAACCUGGGACCCGCAUUUGUGACUGUAUAGCUAGAGUACGGUAGAGGGGGAUGGAAUUCCGCGUGUAGCAGUGAAAUGCGUAGAUAUGCGGAGGAACACCGAUGGCGAAGGCAAUCCCCUGGACCUGUACUGACGCUCAUGCACGAAAGCGUGGGGAGCAAA